AACAACAAAAUAAAUACGUUUUUGCAUUUAAUGUUGAGUGUGUGUGUGUUUGUGUGUGUAUAAAUGUGAUAAAGUUUGUUUGAUGUGAAAGUGGUGACAGCUGAGGCAGUUGCACCAAAGAGAAACUGCUGUACCUUUUGAUUAGAGACCGCUGUCGGCUGAGUGAUCACUUUUGGCGACUGGGCGAUACAGUCAGAAAACUAAAUGUGACCCUUCUUUUCUCUGUAUUUUUACACAGAAUAUUGACUGAUCCUAUAUAUCAGGUGGUGGAAUUAUUCUUAUGUAUAGUAGAAACAAUUUCAGUCACUCAAAAUGGGUGUGUCCGUUUCUAACAUUUAAAACACCCUAAUCUGGAUCCAUCCAUUUUCACUACCUCAGUCUUCCAGUUUCUCUUUCAACAACCAACUGCCUCAGUCUUUGACAAACUUG